rnacentral:rRNA from 1 species
UACGGGGGGAGCAAGCGUUAUCCGGAUUCACUGGGUUUAAAGGGUGCGUAGGCGGACAGGUAAGUCAGUGGUGAAAUCUCUGGGCUUAACCCAGAAACUGCCGUUGAUACUAUUUGUCUUGAAUAUCCUGGAGGUAGGCGGAAUAUGUCAUGUAGCGGUGAAAUGCUUAGAUAUGACAUAGAACACCGAUAGCGAAGGCAGCUUACUACAGGAUGAUUGACGCUGAGGCACGAAAGCGUGGGGAGCAAACAGG